rnacentral:rRNA from 1 species
AUGCUUAAAAUUGAUCUUGCAAAAGCUUUUGAUCGUAUUGAAUGGAAUUUCAUUGUUUCCACUCUUCAACGUAAAGGAUUGCAUGCUCAUUUCAUUAAUUUAAUUUAUGCAUGCAUCUCCUCGCCUUCGUUCUCAGUCAUUAUCAAUGGUCAACCUACUCAUAGAUUUAAAUGUAAUAGGGGUAUUAGACAAGGAUGUCCUAUGUCCCCCUAUCUUUUUGUGCUUGCCAUUAAUGAACUUUCUCUUACUCUCAAUGAUGCUAUGGCUGCUAACCACCUUCAAGGUAUUUUGCUUGGGCCAAAUUGCCCCCCUGUCCACUCUUUGCUCUUUGCAGAUGACCUUCUGGUUUGUGGCCAAGCUAAUUUGCAAGAAGCUAGUAUGAUUGCUCACAUCAUCCAUCAUUUUUGC